UCUGUCUUUUUUCUCUUUAUUAUGUUACUCAGAAAAUAAUCCACAGAUUAAUCAACAAGGACAGUAAUCUGCAAUUUCAGCUCUGUAGGCAGGACAAUCUGUACGUUUAUUUGGGAACAGAAAUGACGGUUAUGUUUGAACCCGAUGGGACUGGAUGGGUUCGGUUUGGAUUGGGCUUAACUUCAGAAAAAAAAUGUGCAAGGGUAAAUCUUUCUUAAUUCUUGUGUUAUUGUUUGGAAGGCGCUGCAGUUUUCUCUCAGAAGCCGUCAGCUCGUUUGAUAAAACAAGUUUUAGAGAGUCUGAGCCCGUCGUGUUGUAGAAGCUGGUUUUAUUGAUUCGUGACACGACUUCUGUUUCCCCGCCAAGGUGAGAACAACGGCAGCCUCGGCGUCUUCUGCUACGGCGAGGAAGAGGAGGAUGGAGAUGAAGAGGACAGCCGGCCGGGUCAUCACGUACCAUCAAGGUUGCUUCAUGUUCUAAUAUUAUCACGUAUGUGUAGUAAUAUUGUCACUUAUGUGUGGUUUCCAUGAGAAUGAGACACAAAAGGAUGGAACUGGGGUCGUUCAGCUGUCCAUCGUCUUCAUUGGCUUCCACAGGAAAGUUUAAGAGCAGCUCCAGAAGGAAAGUUUGAGCGUGUGGUCGGCCUCCAGAGGACCGAGCAGGCUUGACACGACAUGAACUCUGCUUCAUUUUUUUCCAAACUGUUUUCUGACAGCAGGCGGUCGAGGACGGGGACUCCGAGGACUUGUUGGAUCGUUCUCAGGAUCUGCCUGCUGGACCCCAACAUCACUGUGAUCUCAGCGCUGAAGAAGCACAAAGUGCAGACAGUGAAGUGUCCACGUGGCCUUCAGGAGGCAGACUUCAUGCGCCUGCUGAGGUCCAGGUUCCCUCAGCUGGCAGGAGAAAGAGCCUUUGACGUCUUCACGGCCGACUCCUCCAAGAACCUUCACCUGCUGAACCUCAAGACGCUGACGCCAGAGCAGAUCUGCAGAUCCAUCAAGUCCACCGGGAAGGGACGAGCAGACCUGUACAUCUGUCCCAAGGUACUCUCUCAGAUUUGGUGGUCAUCUGCUCAGCGAGGUGUUGCUGGCACUCGCACACCAGGGGCUUUCAAACAGGUUCUGAACCCCCGUCUGAAAUUAUUGUGCCCUAAAGAAACAAAAAUAAUUUUGUUUGUAUUAAUUCUUAAACUGUUAAGAUGCCAGCCUCG
rnacentral:lncRNA from 1 species